GUCUGGAGGUCCAAAAUCAGGGUUGUAGGUUAGGGGCUCCUAGAGUCCUUCGCACAUCAGUAGGUUUUCUCAUAGACGAUUUGUGUGUUAGCGUGUGCCCUCCUGUGGCUGUUAGUUAUGAUAGUUACUGCACGAUUUUAUUGCAUGCGAUUGUAUGUAUGUUUCUUAUUUUUAGUUAAUUAUUUUCACUAUUUUCUGCGGGAGUCACN
rnacentral:lncRNA from 1 species